rnacentral:rRNA from 1 species
UACGGGGGGGCAAGCGUUGUUCGGAAUUACUGGGCGUAAAGGGCUCGUAGGCGGCCAACUAAGUCGGACGUGAAAUCCCCAGGCUCAACCUGGGAACUGCGUCCGAUACUGGAUGGCUUGAAUUCGGGAGAGGGAUGCGGAAUUCCUGGUGUAGAGGUGAAAUGCGUAGAUAUGCGGAGGAACACCGAUGGCGAAGGCAAUCCCCUGGACCUGUACUGACGCUCAUGCACGAAAGCGUGGGGAGCAAA